AGAUCAUCUUCUUGGGAUGAUUGGAGCCGUCCUUGAAAUACCACCCUGAUAAUGUGAGAAUUCUAACUUUUCGCUGUGAAUCCAGCUGAAGGACAGUUUCAGGUGGUCAGUUUGACUGGGGCGGUCGCCUCNCAAAAGGUAACGGAGGCGUACAAAGGUUUCCUC
rnacentral:rRNA from 1 species